AGAGUUUGAUCCUGGCUCAGGAUGAACGCUGGCGGCGUGCCUAAUACAUGCAAGUCGGACGUUGAGUUUGGGAAACUAGACUUGGCGUGGCGAACGGGAGAGUAACACAUGGUUGACCUGCCCUUCAGAGGGGGACAACGGCUGGAAACGGUCGCUAAUACCCCGUGAGUUGGUCGAGGUUAGAGGCUUGACCAGGGAAGCGCGCAAGCGUGCUGAAGGAGGGGACUGUGGCCCAUCAGCUAGUUGGAGAGGUAACGGCUCACCAAGGCGAAGACGGGUAGGGGACCUGAGAGGGUGAUCCCCCACACUGGAACUGAGAGACGGUCCAGACUCCUACGGGAGGCAGCAGUAAGGGAUAUUGCGCGAAUGGACAGAAGUCUGACGCAGCAACGCCGCGUGCGGGAGGAAGGCCUUCGGGUCGUAAACCGCUUUUCGAGGAGAAGAGAGAGGACGGUAUCCUCGGAAUAAGUCUCGGCUAACUACGUGCCAGCAGCCGCGGUAAAACGUAGGAGGCGAGCGUUAUCCGGAUUUACUGGGUGUAAAGCGCGUGCAGGCGGUCUGAAAAGUUCGGUGUGAAAGCGCCUGGCUCAACCGGGCGAGGACGCCGAAAACUGCCAGACUUGAGGCAGGGAGAGGUCUGUGGAAUUCCGGGUGUAGUGGUGAAAUGCGUAGAGAUCCGGAGGAACACCAGUGGCGAAGGCGACAGACUGGCCCUGACCUGACGCUCAGAUGCGAAAGCACGGGGAGCGAACGGGAUUAGAAACCCCGGUAGUCCGUGCCGUAAACGAUGUGGACUAGGUGUCGGCGACGCGAGUCGGCGGUGCCGUAGCUAACGUGAUAAGUCCACCACCUGGGGAGUACGGCCGCAAGGUUAAAACUUAAAGGAAUUGACGG
rnacentral:rRNA from 1 species